rnacentral:rRNA from 1 species
GACGAACGCUGGCGGCGUGCCUAAUACAUGCAAGUCGAACGCAGUGGGGACGGGUGAGUAACACGUGGGUAACCUCCCAUCAGAGGGGAGAACACUUGGAAACAGGUGCUAAACCGAUACUGAUGGAUGGACCCGCGGUGCAUUAGCUAGUGGGUGGGGUAAAGGCUCACCAAGGCCACGAUGCAUAGCCGACCUGCGAGGGUGAACGGCCACAUGUGGACGGAGAAACGGCCCAGCCUCCUACGGGAGGAAGCAGUGGGGAAUCUUCGGCAAUGGACGAAAGUCUGACCGGGAAACGCCGCGUGAGUGAAGAAGGUUUUCGGAUCGUAAGACUCUGUUGUUAGGAAAGCGGUACCUAACCAGAAAGCCACGGCUAACUACGUGCCAGCAGCCGCGGUAAUUC